rnacentral:rRNA from 1 species
AUUGAACGCUGGCGGCAGGCCUAACACAUGCAAGUCGAGCGAGAGGCGGACGGGUGAGUAAUGUCUGGGACACUGCCUGAUGGAGGGGGAUAACUACUGGAAACGGUAGCUAAUACCGCAUACCAUCGGAUGUGCCCAGAUGGGUUUAGCUAGUGGGUGGGGUAAAGGCUCACCUAGGCGACGAUCCCUCGCUGGUCUGAGAGGCGGACCAGCCAAACUGGAACGUAGACACGGUCCAGACUCCUACGGGAGGAAGCAGUGGGGAAUAUUGCACAAUGGGCGCAAGCCUGAUGCAGCCAUGCCGCGUGUGUGAAGAAGGCCUGCGGGUGGUAAAGCACUUUCAGCGAGGAGGCGUUACUCGCAGAAGAAGCACCGGCUAACUCCGUGCCAGCAGCCGCGGUAAUUC